GUGAAUAUUGUUUUGUGGGAUUGAACAACUACUUUUCGUGCUUGCACCACCCGUAACAACUUUCCCAGGUACUUUCUCAGGUAUGUCGAUCUGAUAUGAAUUUGCGUGGAUGAGUACACCAAUUUAUUCAAAUUAUUGCAUCAUAAAAACAACUGAAAUACAAUACAAAAAUUUAAAUACAAAAAAUAUAACAACAACAUAUAACACAAAAUUUGUAACUUAUACUUACCUCAAACACAUUGAGGCUACACUUCUCCCGCACUUCCUCUAACAACUUU
rnacentral:lncRNA from 1 species